rnacentral:lncRNA from 1 species
UCCUUUGUGAGUAUUCUUUCAUGUUUUCAUUCAAUCUUGCAAAGAUUUGAUUAGUUUUUAUGGUAUUUUGAAGGUUUUAAGCUAAAUCUCAAAGUUGUGAAGUUUGGAGAGUUUGAAGGAGAGUUGCUCCAAAACUCCACGUUAGGAUCAUUCAUCUUCUUGGUUUCAAGAGGUAAGUGAAGAUCCUGAGCUUGUUUUUAUGUUUUCUGAAGGUUUUAUGUGGUUUUGGGGGAGAGUUGCAUGAAUAGUGUUAUUUGUGAGGUUUUAAUGAUUUGGUGAGUAAAGCUUGUUUCUGUGUUGUUUGUUUUGUGUGUUUGGG